AGCAGUAGCCACGGUAAAACGUAGGGUGCAAGCGUUAAUCGGAAUUACUGGGCGUAAAGCGUGCGCAGGCGGUUUGUUAAGGCAGAUGUGAAAUCCCCGGGCUCAACCUGGGAACUGCAUUUGUGACUGGCAAGCUAGAGUGUGGCAGAGGGGGGUGGAAUUUCCGGUGUAGCAGUGAAAUGCGUAGAGAUCGGAAGGAACAUCUGUGGCGAAGGCGACUAUCUGGGCCAACACUGACACUGAGGCACGAAAGCGUGGGGAGCAAACAGGAUUAGAGACCCCGGUAGUCCCUGUCUCUUAUAA
rnacentral:rRNA from 1 species